UACGUAGGCAGCGAGCGUUGUUCGGAUUUAUUGGGCGUAAAGAGCACGCAGGCGGUCUUGUAAGUUUCGAGUGACAGGUGGUGGCUUAACUGCCACAGGGCUGGGAAAACUGCAAGACUUGAGAACUUCAGAGGGAUGCGGAAUUCCAGGUGGAGCGGUGAAAUGCGUAGAGAUCUGGAAGAACACCAAAGGCGAAGGCAGCAUCCUGGGAAGAAUCUGACGCUGAGGUGCGAAAGCCAGGGGAGCGAACGGG
rnacentral:rRNA from 1 species